AUUGAACGCUGGCGGCAUGCCUUACACAUGCAAGUCGAACGGCAGCGCGGACUUCGGUCUGGCGGCGAGUGGCGAACGGGUGAGUAAUACAUCGGAACGUACCCUGUUGUGGGGGAUAACUAGUCGAAAGAUUAGCUAGUACCGCAUACGACCUGAGGGUGAAAGUGGGGGAUCGCAAGGCCUCACGCAGCAGGAGCGGCCGAUGUCUGAUUAGCUAGUUGGUGGGGUAAAGGCCCACCAAGGCGACGAUCAGUAGCUGGUCUGAGAGGACGAUCAGCCACACUGGGACUGAGACACGGCCCAGACUCCUACGGGAGGCAGCAGUGGGGAAUUUUGGACAAUGGGGGCAACCCUGAUCCAGCAAUGCCGCGUGUGUGAAGAAGGCCUUCGGGUUGUAAAGCACUUUUGUCCGGAAAGAAAUCGCGCUGGUUAAUACCUGGCGUGGAUGACGGUACCGGAAGAAUAAGCACCGGCUAACUACGUG
rnacentral:rRNA from 1 species